GGCUGCAUAAUGCCUUGUUGGACCACUUGAGAAGUGGCUUUGGGUCUUCGCAUUGUGUCUUGGAGUAGAGUAUUUUCGAGAUCAAAAGUGAUAGAUCAGCGUGAAUCUUGAAAGACUGCCUGUAGAUGUUGCUUGUCCUGUUGUGAAAUUGUAGUUCUUGUCAUUGUCUAUCACUAUGUUACUGUAUUUUGUAUUUCUGGUCUUCUUGUAUCUUUGCAUUGUAUAUACUAUAAAGUCUGUAAUCUUGUAACCCAGUUGGUUUGUUAUAGUUUUACUUGUCCUGUAUCAGAUUUUGAGGCCUUGCAAGCCUAUGGGAUUCACGCCCUGUGGGUCUGCGGCCGUUUGUCUGCGCACCGGGUCCGGUGAGCCGGGUU